rnacentral:rRNA from 1 species
AGGGCACCACCAGGAGUGGAGCCUGCGGCUUAAUUUGACUCAACACGGGGAAACUUACCCGGCCUGGGCACUGGAAGGAUUGACAGAUUGAGAGCUCUUUCUUGAUUCAGUGGGUGGUGGUGCAUGGCCGUUCUUAGUUGGUGGAGCGAUUUGUCUGGUUAAUUCCGAUAACGAACGAGACUCUAGCCUAUUAAAUAGGCUCUCGGCUUUUAAACGCCGGGAGGACUUCUUAGAGGGACAGGUGGCGGUUCAGCCGCACGAAAGAGAGCAAUAACAGGUCUGUGAUGCCCUUUGUUGUCCGGGGCCGCACGCGCGCUACACUGAAGGGAUCAGCGUGCUUUACGUUCCUGCUCCGACCGGAGUGGGGAACCCAGUGAACCUUCUUCGUGAUUGGGAUAGAAGAUUGUAAUUAUUCUUCUUGAACGAGGAAUUCCCAGUAAAUGCGAGUCAUAAGCUCGCGUUGAUUACGUCCCUGCCCUUUGUACACACCGCCCGUCGCUACUACCGAUUGAACGAUUU